rnacentral:piRNA from 1 species
UCUAAUUCUCAGGUCCGGCUUUAAAACAA